rnacentral:rRNA from 1 species
CCUACGGGAGGCAGCAGUGGGGAAUAUUGCACAAUGGGGGGAACCCUGAUGCAGCGACGCCGCGUGAGUGAAGAAGUAUUUCGGUAUGUAAAGCUCUAUCAGCAGGGAAGAAAAUGACGGUACCUGACUAAGAAGCCCCGGCUAAAUACGUGCCAGCAGCCGCGGUAAUAAGUAGGGGGCAAGCGUUAGCCGGAUUUACUGGGUGGAAAGGGAGCGCAGACGGCUGUGCAAGUCUGGAGUGAAAGGCGGGGGCCCAACCCCCGGACUGCUCUGGAAACUGUAAAGCUGGAGUGCAGGAGAGGUAAGCGGAAUUCCUAGUGUAGCGGUGAAAUGCGUAGAUAUUAGGAGGAACACCAGUGGCGAAGGCGGCUUACUGGACUGCAACUGACGUUGAGGCUCGAAAGCGUGGGGAGCAAACAGGAUUAGAUACCCGAGUAGUC